rnacentral:lncRNA from 1 species
UUUUUUUUUUUUUUUUUUUUUUUUUUGAGACAGGGUCUCACUUUGUCCCCCAGGCUGGAGUGCAGUGGUGCUAUCUCGGCUCACUGCAGCCUCGACCUCCCAGGUUCAAGCUAUUUUCCUGCCUCAGCCUCCCAAAUAGCUGGAACCAUAGGCGGGCGCCACUACACCUGACUUUUUUGUACUUUUUUAAGAGACAGGUUUCACCAUGUCUGUCAGGCUGGUUUCCAACUACCUUUUUUUUUUUUUUGAGACAGUUUUGCUCUGCCGUCCAGACUGGAGUGCAGUGGCAUGAUCUUGGCUCACUGAAACCUCUGCCUCCCGGGUUCAAGCAAUUCUACUGCCUCAACCUCCUGAGUAGCUGGGACUACAGGCGUGCAUCACCAUGCCUAUAGUAGAGACGGGGUUUCACCAUGUUGGUCAGGCUGGUCUUGAACUCCUGACCGCCUGAUCCACCUGCCUCGGCUUCCCAAAGUGCUGGGAUUAAAGACAUGAGCCACUAUGCCCAGCCUGGUUUCCACCUCUUGAGCUCAAGCGAUCCACUCGCCUUCCAAGGUGCUGGGAUUAGAGGUGUGAGUGAUAGGCCCCAGCCCCUGUUUCAUUCUUUAGAGUGAUGAUCACUAUUUCCAAGGAUCCUGUUUUUCUUAUGUCACUUGCCUCUUAUGUCACUGCAGCGGAACGGGCUUGAGGACAUCAUUUGAGUCUCUUUUCUACUUGUUGCCAAGGAAAAUGCUUGACAGAGAGUAGGUGUUCAAUGGUAGCCAUUGGAUGAGUCAGAACAGGUUAUGAAGGUGACCACCUUCAUUCUUGGUGUGGGAGCUUCCGGCACCUGCGCCCUGGUGAAGUCCUCUCCCACAAGAGUCAGGAGGUGAGGAUGCACGCCUUCCAGGUUUAUACCGUCCAGGCCAUCCUCUCCCACAAGAGUCAGGAGGUGAGGAUGCACGCCUUCCAGUUAUACCGUCCAGGCCAUCCUCCCCCGGGUCAGGGGGUGAGAAUGCACGCCUCCGUUACCCGUCCAGGCCUCCUCCCCACGCGGGUCAGGAGGUGAGGAUGCACGCCUUCCAGGUUUAUACCGUCCAGGCCAUCCUCUCCCACGCGGGGUCAGGAGGUGAGAAUGCACGCCUUCCAGGUUUAUACCGUCCAGGCCAUCCUCUCCCACAAGAGUCAGGAGGUGAGGAUGCACGCCUUCCAGGUUUAUACCGUCCAGGCCAUCCUCUCCCACGCGGGUCAGGGAGGAUGCACGCCUUCCGGUUUAUACCGUCCAGGCCAUCCUCUCCCACAAGAGUCAGGAGGUGAGGAUGCACGCCUUCCAGGUUUAUACCGUCCAGGCCAUCCUCUCCCACGCGGGGUCAGGAGGUGAGGAUGCAUGCCUUCCAAGACCACACCCCCCAGGCCAUCCUCUCCCACACUGAGUCAGGAGGUGAGGAUGCACUCCUUCCAAGUUUACACCAUCGAGGCCAUCCUCUCCCACACUGAGUCAGGAGGUGAGGAUGCACUCCUUCCAAGUUUACACCAUCUAGGCCAUCC